AAACAUUCAAAGACUUAUUCCGGAAACAACUAUUAAAGGAAUCCUAAUGCUAGUGUGGAUACUAUGAUCAAGGAUGUAAGCUUGUAAAUGAAGUGUUAGGAGAAAAUAUCAUUGAUACUUAGGUCAGUCUGACGUGGUUCGUCUACACGUGUGCAGGAACGAUGAAGUGCCAAGGUGACACUGGAGGUCUUGCGAAAGUCAGUGUGGGUGCACUCAGGUGCUCCGACAAUGACCUACACAAAAACCAAUUUCAAUAGUGGAUUCUCGACAUGAUCCCUCCGAUGCCUAAGUUAGGCCCAAG
rnacentral:lncRNA from 1 species